rnacentral:sRNA from 1 species
AAAAUCAAAGUUGGAUGGUUUCUCCAUUCACCAUUUCCUUCUUCCGAGA